UGGGGAAUAUUGGACAAUGGGGGGAACCCUGAUCCAGCAAUGCCGCGUGUGUGAAGAAGGCCUGAGGGUUGUAAAGCACUUUCAGUGGGGAGGAGGGAUGAUUGGUUAAGAGCUGAUUAUUUGGACGUUACCCACAGAAGAAGCACCGGCUAACUCCGUGCCAGCAGCCGCGGUAAUACGGAGGGUGCAAGCGUUAAUCGGAAUUACUGGGCGUAAAGGGUGCGUAGGUGGUUAUAUAAGUUAGCUGUGAAAUUCCUGGGCUCAACCUAGGGUGGUCAGCUAAGACUGUAAGACUUUGAGUAUAGGAGAGGGUAGUGGAAUUUCCGGUGUAGCGGUGAAAUGCGUAGAGAUCGGAAGGAACACCAGUGGCGAAGGCGGCUACCUGGCCUAAUACUGACACUGAGGCACGAAAGCGUGGGGAGCAAACAGGAUUAGAUACCCCUGUAGUCC
rnacentral:rRNA from 1 species